GGACAAAGAAGGUUUCAAUUAACUGGCCAUACCCUUUUGUAGAGAACAAGUUGUUUGUACUUACUGUCAGUGCUGGUUUAGAAGGUUAUCACAUCAAUGUAGAUGGGAGACAUAUUACUUCCUUUCCUUAUCGCACUGGUUUUACUCUUGAGGAUGCGACGGGUCUGUUUGUUAACGGGGAUAUUGACGUGCAUUCUGUAUUUGCUGCUUCAUUACCUUCAACACAUCCAAGUUUUGCUCCACAGAGGCAUUUAGAAAUGUUACCCAAGUGGCAAGCUCCGCCACUUCCCGAUGAACCUGUAGAGCUUUUUAUUGGCAUCCUUUCUGCAGGCAAUCAUUUUUCUGAGAGAAUGGCCGUGAGAAAAUCUUGGAUGCA
rnacentral:misc_RNA from 1 species